UAAGAUCAGGCAUUGAUGCUCUGUUUUCUCAAAUGCAGCUGACUAAGAGACAACAGCCUGGUGACAGCAGGAACUUCCCAGACGGCGAGGCGGCCUUCUUUUGCAUCUGACACGGAUUGGCAUCUGCAGAUAAGUCAAUGGCUAUGACCCACAGAGGGGAUGAUAGUGGGGUGCUGGGUCAGGACUCACAGGGAGGGAUUUUUGAGUCUGCUUUGGAGUUGGGGAUGUCCAAGAAGUGGCCCCUUAGGCCACAGAAAAGCCAAGUGUCACUUUUGAUCCCAAUGCUGAGGUGCUCAGGGCAGAGCAGUCCCGGAGGGUAUCGUAUCAGUUGUCUAUUGUGCAUUCUGUGUGUUUGGCUUUCUCAUGUCUUUUACCUUAGCCCUUUGAGGGGCCUAUCAGAAACCCUGGCAUCAUUCUUAGCAUCUGUGAUCUCUGCAUUUCUUGGCCUGCCACCAAUGCCGUAGGACUUUUGACUCAGGAGCUCAGACAGGCAUCAGAAUUGCACUUCUCUUUAGGAGCAUCCAGUCAGAUGUCUUUGAAGGUCUUGUUCUGAGCUGUAUUUACCUUGCAAGGAUCCAUUAUGGCAGAUUAGGGCUUGUAAGAAUGCAAAGAUAGGUAGAGGAUGCUGACCGUAGGAUUCUCAGACAUCCAUCUUUGUAAUUCUUGGAAUAAACCAUUGUGUUAGCAGGUUAUUCCUCUAGGGUUCUGGGAGCCUCAUCAGCUCGCCAUCAGUCUCAUCUCGGUCAUCUAAUCUUGCAUUCUCUCAGUCCUUGCAGUCAUUCUUCUUGCCAAGAGAUUCCUGUUGUGUCCCCCUUGUUUGUCAUGUCGUGUCCUGUGUCACGGGUGUCUGCAUGUAUUUGUGCCGGAGCUGCUCUGCCCUGCUGCAUAGCCUGGUGUAAUAGGACAAAUCCUGGGGGCUUGAAAUUUGUAGUGUGGGCUGUAGUUGGAUUAUAGAUGGGAUUUGUAGAUGGACCCAAGAUGUCUGGAGCAGUGAAAUUAUCCUGCAGCCCUUUGACAUUUGUCCUGACUUUCUUUCAGAUGCAGGCAGAUAAAAUCCAUGGCAGAGCACCCCAUCCUGGCUGAGGGGGUUCCUCCGAGCAGGAAGUAAAGCUGGAUAUCAGCAGUCAAGGCAAUCCAUUUGGAGUAGGCCGAGCCCCCCCACCCCCCAACCGGCCAAUGGAUCUGGUUUGCUGCUCUUGCGAGCCCUGUGAAGGUAUUGCAGGACUCUGCGAUGAAGCCCUGAACCUUUCUGUUUAAAGGUGCCAUCCGGCUGGCCUUUGGCAGCUGCCGAGGAGUUGCGGUGAGUCAGGGAAUAGGGAGGAGGAGCGAGGGUCCGCUCAUGUUUCAGCAAUGCCACAUCUCCCUGUCUCCCCUUAAACCAGGCACACCCUGCCAUGAUGGCAUUGGCCUCCAAGCGUUGCUGAAGCUAAUGGCAUUAGGAGAUGCUAUGAGGCAGCAGCCCAGUGACAGCGAGAACUUCCCAGAUGGCAAGGCGGCCUUCUUUUGCACCUGAUGCAGAUUGGCAUCCCCAGAUGUCUGAGAGAUAAGUCAAGGGCUACGACUUGCCGAGGGGGUGAAUGUGGGGUGCUGGGUUGGGACUCA